CCUCACCCUCGUAAGACUACCCGCUGAACUUAAGCAUAUCAAUAAGCGGAGGAAAAGAAACCAACAGGGAUUGCCUCAGUAACGGCGAGUGAAGCGGCAAAAGCUCAAAUUUGAAAUCCCCCGGGAAUUGUAAUUUGAAGAGAUUUGGGUCCGGCCGGCRGGGGUUAAGUCCACUGGAAAGUGGCGCCACAGAGGGUGACAGCCCCGUGARCCCCYYYAAMGCCYYYAYCCCAGAUCUCCAAGAGUCGAGUUGUUUGGGAAUGCAGCUCUAAGUGGGUGGUAAAUUCCAUCUAAAGCUAAAUACCGGCGAGAGACCGAUAGCGAACAAGUACAGUGAUGGAAAGAUGAAAAGCACUUUGAAAAGAGAGUGAAAAAGUACGUGAAAUUGUUGAAAGGGAAGGGCUUGCAAGCAGACACUUAACUGGGCCAGCAUCGGGGCGGCGGGGAGCAAAACCACCGGGGAAUGUACCUUUCGAGGAUUAUAACCCCGGCCCUUACUCCCA
rnacentral:rRNA from 1 species